CAAGGCAAACUACACCCAACUGACCGAUAGUGACCCAGUACCGUGAGGGAAAGGCGAAAAGAACCCCUGUGAGGGGAGUGAAAUAGAACCUGAAACCGUGUACGUACAAGCAGUAGGAGCCUACUUGUUGGGUGACUGCGUACCUUUUGUAUAAUGGGUCAGCGACUUAUAUUCUGUAGCGAGGUUAACCAUUUAGGGGAGCCGUAGCGAAAGCGAGUCUUAACUGGGCGCUUAAGUUGCAGGGUAUAGACCCGAAACCCGGUGAUCUAGCCAUGGGCAGGUUGAAGGUUGAGUAACAUCAACUGGAGGACCGAACCCACUAACGUUGAAAAGUUAGGGGAUGACCUGUGGCUAGGAGUGAAAGGCUAAUCAAACCGGGAGAUAGCUGGUUCUCCCCGAAAUCUAUUUAGGUAGAGCCUCGGACGAAUACUUACGGGGGUAGAGCACUGUUAAGGCUAGGGGGUCAUCCCGACUUACCAACCCUUUGCAAACUCCGAAUACCGUAAAGUACUAUCCGGGAGACACACGGCGGGUGCUAACGUCCGUCGUGGAGAGGGAAACAACCCAGACCGUCAGCUAAGGUCCCAAAGUGUAUGUUAAGUGGGAAACGAUGUGGGAAGGCUAAAACAGCUAGGAGGUUGGCUUAGAAGCAGCCACCCUUUAAAGAAAGCGUAAUAGCUCACUAGUCGAGUCGGCCUGCGCGGAAGAUGUAACGGGGCUAAACAUACCACCGAAGCUACGGCUGCGUACGUAAGUAUGCGGGGUAGGGGAGCGUUCUGUAAGUGGCUGAAGGUGUGCCGGGAGGCAUGCUGGACAUAUCAGAAGUGCGAAUGCUGACAUGAGUAACGACAAGAGGAGUGAAAAACUCCUCCGCCGGAAGACCAAGGGUUCCUAUCCCAUGUUAAUCAGGGUAGGGUGAGUCGACCCCUAAGGCGAGGCUGAAGAGCGUAGUCGAUGGGAAACGGGUUAAUAUUCCCGUACUUGGUAUGAAUGCGAUGGGGGGACGGAGCAGGCUAGGCAAGCAUGGCGUUGGUGUUCC
rnacentral:rRNA from 19 species